GAUCUCAAGAUGGUCACAGCUCACUUUAGCCUUUACCUGUAACCACUUGAAGACACCAUUGGAAUCUAAAGGCUGAUUGAUCGGUGAUGAUGGAGGAGCAUGUGGCAGAGGCGGCUUUACUUCAUGGCAGUUAGGGAGCAGAGCAAGCAAGAAAGGGACCAGGCAUAACUUUGAACUAUGUUCCCAGUGGCCUACUUCUUCCUACUAAACCUAUCUCCUAAAGAUUUUAUAAUGUCCUCAAAUAACAAUGCCAGAUAGAGACCAAUUAUCAACACAUGAGCCUGUGAGGAACAUUCAUAUUCAACGAAGUUCCAUAAGCAGAAGAAUAUUCCGUGGGGAGCCUGACCCAAAGCAAUCAUGUUGGGUUCUGCAGGUGUGGAUCCUAUGAAAACUACUUCAAGGUGAAUAAUUGCAUCACAUUGAAAACAGAUAAAUAUUUUUUUCUUUGUUUGAAGAUGGAGGCAGUGGAGUAGGGAGGUGUGCGUACUGCACUUACGAAAGCAUCUAUUUCUCUAAGUUUUGGGCUUCUCUUCCAUUAGGUAGAACUUCAAGUACAAUAUUGAAGAGGUAUGGAAAGAGUGGACAGCCUUGUCUUGUCCCUGAUUUUAGAGGAAUUGCAUUGAGUUUCUCUCCAUUUAAUUUGAUGUUGGCUGCUGGCUUGCUCUAUAUUGCUUUUAUUAUGUUACGGUAUGUUCCUGUUAUCCCUAGUUUCUCCAAGACCUUUAUCAUGAUGGGCCCCCUUCCCUUUGUAAUAAAAGUUCUCACUUAAGUUCUGUCUGCCUGGCAUGUUUGUCCCUUCGCCUCAGGCACCCUUACCUGUCAUGGAAUCCAC
rnacentral:lncRNA from 1 species